rnacentral:tRNA from 1 species
CCUUGGUAUGGAAAAUCCGUCGACUUUAGAAAUCGUGAGGGUUCAAGUCCCUCUAUCCCC